rnacentral:misc_RNA from 1 species
GUAUAUAGUUUAUAGGCACAAGGCCCAAUGAUACAUUCUGUUACAUUUUUGGGGUAUAUGAAAACAUAGGCCUGGACAUACAAGAAAAGCUGGCUGUGAAGCGCAACAUUUCUCCCGACUAAGUUUCCUCAGAAAGUGUUAUAUCCAGGUCUACAAAAGGUGCACAGGUGGAAAGAUAAAGAUGACGGGUGGGCACAUACCCCCGAAAGGGCCAGCUACAACCACAUCAGGUUUAUUCAAUAAUGAUCCUUCCGCAGGUUCACCUACGGAAA